UACAGAGGGUGCUAGCGUUGUUCGGAAUUACUGAACGUAAAGCGCGUGCAAGCGGUUGGGCAAGUCAGAUGUGAAAGCCUUCCGCUUAACGGAAGAAGUGCAUUUGAAACUACCCGGCUGGAGUUCGGGAAAAGAGAGUGGAAUUCCUGGUGUAGAGGUGAAAUUCGUAGAUAUCAGGAGGAACACCGGUGACGAAGGCGGCUCUCUAACCCGAUACUAACGCUGAGACGCGAAAGCGUGGGGAGCAAAC
rnacentral:rRNA from 1 species